rnacentral:tRNA from 2 species
CGGAGCGUAGCGCAGCUUGGUAGCGCACUUGUCUGGGGGACAAGGGGUCGUGGGUUCAAAUCCCGCCGCUCCGACCA